UUAGUACUCCCUCCGUCCGGAAAUACUUGUCAUUGAAAUGGAUGUAUCUAGAUGUAUUUUAGUUCUAGAUACAUCCAUUUUCAUUCAUUUUGAUGACAAGUAUUUCCGGACGGAGGGAGUACUAG
rnacentral:pre_miRNA from 1 species